rnacentral:tRNA from 1 species
GCUUUCGUGGUGUAGUAGUCAACACGCUACACACGUAUUCGAGAGGUCUGUGGUUCGAGUCCCGGCGAGGGCG